AUGUUUCAGUUAAUCACCCUAAUUAGCAUUGGAAAGGUUUUUGUCUCUUGCCUGGGGGCAUCCUUUGUUCAGUCAUUAGCUGUCCUCUACCCUCAGAGUUUUCUAGAUGUUCUGGUCAUCCGCAAACCCAAUCAACAAUUGGGCCACACAGUUUACAGAAAACCUACGCACACAGAUAGAUACCUUCAUAAAAACUCCAACCAUCACCCAAGUCAAAAAAGGAGCACAAUCAAAGCCCUGACAGACCGUGCACAAAGAAUCUGUGAACCUCACCUCCUCCAAGGUGAACUCAACCACCUAAACUGGGCUCUACAGGCCAAUGGAUACUCCACCACAGACAUCAGAAGAGCUGCAAGGCCAAGAACAAGCCAUGAGAGUCAAGACAAAGAUCCACCCAGUUUAGGUGGUUCAGUUCCCUUUGGUGGAGGUGAGGUUUGCAGGUUCUUUGUGCACAGUCUGAUAGGGCUUUGUUUUGUGCUUCUUUUUUGAGCUGUGUGAUGGUUGGAGUUUUUAUGAAGGUAUCUAUCCGUGGUUUUCCAUAAACUGUGUGGCCCAAUUGUUGAUUGGGUUUGCGGAUGAGUAGGACAUCUAGAAAUGGCAGUUUUCCUUCAUUUUCUUUUUCCUUGGUGAAUUGGAUGUUUGGGUGGAUGCUGCUGAGGUGGUCCAGGAACUUGUUGAGUUCUUCUUCUCCAUGGUUCCAAAUGGUGAAGGUAUCACCCACAUAUCUGAACCAUAUAGAGUCUCAUUUAUCCAACAUAAACGGGCUUGCAGAACGUUGGAUAAGUGAAUAUGUUGGAUAAUAAGGAGGGAUUAAGGAAAAGCCUAUUACACAUCAAAUUAGGUUAUGAUUUUACAAAUUAAGCACCAAAACAUCAUGUUUAACAACAAAUUUGACAGAAAAAGUAGUUCAAUAUGCAGUAAUGCUAUGUAGUAAUUGGGGGCCUUUGGUGGUGGCGCAGUGUGUUAAAGCGCUAAACUUGCAGACCGAAAGGUCCCAGGUUCAAAUCCCGGGAGCGGAAUGAGCGUACGCUGUUAGCCCCAGCUCUUGCCAACCUAGCAGUUCGAAAACAUGCAAAUGUGAGUAGAUCAAUAGGUACCGCUCCAGUGGGAAGGUAACGGCGCUCCAUGCAGUCAUGCCAGCCACAUGACCUUGGAGGUGUCUACGGACAACGCCGGCUCUUCGGCUUAGAAAUGGAGAUGAGCAACAACCCCCAGUCGGUCACGACUGGACUUAACAUCAGGGGAAAAACUAUACCUUUUACCUUUAUGUAGUAAUUACUGUAUUUAUGAAUUUAGCACCAAAAUAUCAUGAUAAUAUUGAAAACAUUGACUACAAAAAUGCGUUGGAUAAUCCAGAACGUUGGAUAAGUGAGACUCUACUGUAGUAGGCUUUUUUGGUGCAGUUUCUAGGACUUGUUUUUCAAAGUGCCCCAUCUAGAAAUUUGCCAUGACUGGGCAGAGACAGCUCCCCGUGGCUACUCCAUCUUUCUGUUCAUAGAAUUAAUUGUCCCACUGAAAGUAGCUUGUGGGGAAUUGUUUUACGUAAGUGUGUGUGUGGGGGGGGGGGGGGGAGCCUAAAGCGGGACGGCUCCUGGCCGUCCGCACGAGUGGGCAGGGCCGCCCAUCUGUGUGAGAGGGGCGGGGAGAGGAAGAGGCGGGCCAAGGCCGCUUUCCCGUCCCCUCCUUCGUGAGGGGAAAAGUGGAGGCCGGGGCAGCUUGGAGGCGCCUCCUGUUGUUGUUUAUUCCCAGAGCCGCCGUUUCUGACUGGAAUGAAGCGGGUGGAGAGGGGACUGAGGCCUUCCUCGCUGUUUCUCUUUCUCUGAGGAGGGAGAAGACGAGGAGGGGGGUUGCCAUGCCCGAGCAGU
rnacentral:lncRNA from 1 species